GUGCCGGCAGCACUCAUGCAGCCCCAGACCAGGACACUCCCUCCACCAUGCUUGACUGGAGGUGGUCCUCAUCCCACGAAUCAAGCUCCUGCAGUAUAUAAACCCCAGUCCUCCUCACCAUUCUUCGCCAGAUCGUCAGUUAACCACACGUGGUACAUGUGUCAAGGCCUACCAUCAACUCAAGUUAGAUUCUUUCUGUGUGCUCCCUGGAGUAACCUGUAUUUCUAAGUGCUCAGGAUCACUUUUCCUCUGGAGGCUCUGCUGAACACCACGCUCUGCUCUGCUCACACCCCGCCUGGACAAACCAGCCCUCCGUGCUUGCCACUCUGCCUUGUUGAAACAUAUCACCCAGCCUUCUGUUGCACAUCUCAGUAAAAUCCUUUGUUACCCCUUUGAGCUGUUCCGAGUCUGCCUUUGAGUCCAAAAGUUCUCACAUUAUGACAGAUACACAUUGUUAGAUCGGUUAGAUUCACCACGAUUCAGUCGUUCAGUUUAUUUAAGGGAAACAACAAUAAGUCUAAUUCUUUUUUGUUUACCAGUGUAACCUGCAUGGUACAAGAGAGGAAAAGGUGGGAAAAGUGCUGACUCAUGUUAACUUUGAAGCGCUCGUUAAGUCCGAAUGUGUCCCUUCCUUGAUUAUUUAUCUUCCUUUAGUCUGUAAGGGUCCACCCAUCAAAAGAAUCAAAACAGCUUUUCAUAAAAGAGUGCGACGGACUUCACAUGACAGGAUUCACAACGGAUUAGUUGUGAAUCCUGUCAUGUGAAGUCCGUCGCUCUGUCUGCUAACAUCUCUCAUCCUGCACCCUGUUGUUGUCGUGAUGUUCCUUUAAAAUGAAAGCGCAUGUUGGAGCUAGAUCAAAUGAAUGACGUGUAUUUGAUAUUACUGGAUAAGUUUUAUACAUCUAAUAUUCUGUUUGAAAUAAACUUUUUAAACUUU